UACGUAGGGGGCGAGCGUUGUCCGGAGUUACUGGGCGUAAAGGGCAUGUAGGCGGUCCGAUCAGUUUGGGGUUACAGCUCCCGGCUUAACUGGGAGAGCGCCUCGAAGACGGUGGGACUUGAGAGCCAGAGAGGGACACAGAAUUCCGGGUGUAGUGGUGAAAUGCGUAGAUAUCCGGAGGAAUACCAAAGGCGAAGGCAGUGUCCUGGCUGGUAUCUGACGCUGAGGUGCGAAAGCCAGGGGAGCGAACGG
rnacentral:rRNA from 1 species